UACGAAGGGGGGCUAGCGUUGCUCGGAAUCACUGGGCGUAAAGCGCACGUAGGCGGCUUCUUAAGUCAGGGGUGAAAUCCUGGAGCUCAACUCCAGAACUGCCUUUGAUACUGAGAAGCUUGAGUUCGGGAGAGGUGAGUGGAACUGCGAGUGUAGAGGUGAAAUUCGUAGAUAUUCGCAAGAACACCAGUGGCGAAGGCGGCUCACUGGCCCGAUACUGACGCUGAGGUGCGAAAGCGUGGGGAGCAAACAGG
rnacentral:rRNA from 1 species